UGGGUGGUCAACAAGCGCGGGUCUGGCGGAGCGCGGUGGCGCGCGGAGACCGCGAGGCGACCGGGAGCGGCUGGGUCCCCGGCGGCGCGCCCCUCGGCCGGGCCGGGAGCCGCGCCAGUCGGUGCUCCCGGCCGAGCGCGGUCCGCCUCCCUCUCAGCGAUCGUCCGCCCGGGGUGCGGCCCGCGGGCAUGCCGGAUCCACCAGGGGCGCCGCCGCCGGCGCUCGCAGGUCGCGGGUGAAGAAAGUGCGGCCUCGCUCGGCCCGGAGCGAAGACGUGGCCCGGAGCCAAGAGGUGACCCGAAGUGAAGAAGUGGCCCAAAGUGAAGAGGUGACCGAGGGCCAGGAGGUGGCCCCGAGCGAGGAAAUG
rfam:Canis lupus familiaris chromosome 11, whole genome shotgun sequence.